AUACGGAGGGUGCAAGCGUUAAUCGGAAUUACUGGGCGUAAAGCGCGCGUAGGCGGUCAUGUAAGUCGGGUGUGAAAUCCCCGGGCUCAACCUGGGAACUGCAUUCGAUACUGUAUGACUUGAGUUUGGUAGAGGGGAGUGGAAUUCCACAUGUAGCGGUGAAAUGCGUAGAUAUGUGGAGGAACACCAGUGGCGAAGGCGACUCCCUGGUCCAAAACUGACGCUGUGGUGCGAAAGCGUGGGUAGCAAACAGGAUUAGAAACCCUAGUAGUCC
rnacentral:rRNA from 1 species